UACAGAGGUCUCAAGCGUUGUUCGGAUUCAUUGGGCGUAAAGAGCUCGUAGGCGGUUUGUUGCGUCGGCUGUGAAAUCCCGAGGCUCAACCUCGGGUCUGCAGUCGAUACGAGCAAACUAGAGUGUUGCAGGGGAGACUGGAAUUCCUGGUGUAGCGGUGAAAUGCGCAGAUAUCAGGAGGAACACCGGUGGCGAAGGCGGGUCUCUGGGCAACAACUGACGCUGAGGAGCGAAAGUGUGGGGAGCGAACAGG
rnacentral:rRNA from 1 species